UACGUAGGUGGCAAGCGUUUAUCCGGAAUCAUUGGGCGUAAAGCGCGUGUAGGCGGUCCGGUAAGUCCGCUGUGAAAGUCGGGGGCUCAACCCUCGGAUGCCGGUGGAUACUGUCGGGCUUGAGUACGGAAGAGGCGAGUGGAAUUCCUGGUGUAGCGGUGAAAUGCGCAGAUAUCAGGAGGAACACCAAUUGCGAAGGCAGCUCGCUGGGACGUUACUGACGCUGAGACGCGAAAGCGUGGGGAGCAAACAGG
rnacentral:rRNA from 1 species